GGGGAUGUAGCUCAAUUGGUAGAGCACUAUGAUAUGCUUCUUAGAGGUCCGGGUUCAAUUCCUCGCAUCUCCA
rnacentral:tRNA from 1 species